UACGUAGGCAGCGAGCGUUGUUCGGAGUUACUGGGCGUAAAGCGUGCGUAGGCGGCGGUCCAAGUCUGGUGUGAAAUCUCCCGGCUUAACUGGGAGGGUGCGCCGGAAACUGGGCUGCUGGAGUGCGGGAGAGGCAAGCGGAAUUCCAGGUGUAGCGGUGAAAUGCGUAGAUAUCUGGAGGAACACCCGUGGUGCAGACGGCUUGCUGGACCGUGACUGACGCUGAGGCACGAAAGCGUGGGUAGCAAACAGG
rnacentral:rRNA from 1 species